CACGUAGGGCGCGAGCGUUGUCCGGAAUUAUUGGGCGUAAAGAGCUCGUAGGCGGUUUGUCGCGUCUGCUGUGAAAACUCAGGGCUUAACUCUGAGCUUGCAGUGGGUACGGGCAGACUAGAGUGCGGUAGGGGAGACUGGAAUUCCUGGUGUAGCGGUGAAAUGCGCAGAUAUCAGGAGGAACACCGGUGGCGAAGGCGGGUCUCUGGGCCGUAACUGACGCUGAGGAGCGAAAGCAUGGGGAGCGAACAGG
rnacentral:rRNA from 1 species